AUCAUAGUGACAGCAGAGAUGAGAAGGGAGAUGCUCAACGCUACGGUUUUUGGCAAUAUUAAAAGCAUGGGGCUAAAUCGUAGUGGCGAUUCCGGGUGUAGAAUUUUGUAAUAAUCGCCUUCGUCGAUAAUGCAUAUCCCGCCGUAGCCGAGCUGAACGUGAUCACGAACGUGAAGCUUGACGGGCAGAGAUUCUCCCCUACUUACCGUUGGUUCCCAAAGCAACCCUCAGAACGAAGCUCGUGCAGGGAUGAGCAUUCUGUGCCUAAGCGCUCCCAGAAGUGACUCCCCCCUGCAGGUUGUGCACUACAAGUCUGUGCUCCGGCAAAUUUUACAAUUUCCAGCACUACUGUUACUCACCCUAGUUCGUGCUUUCUAAGUGUUAAUGUAUACACCUUUUAAUACAAUUCAUCAAUCGGGCCACUAGUACUAUAUGAACUUUUAUCUCCUCUGUAAUAUGGCUACCAGCGUUAUCACCUAAUGGUCAGAAACUCGAAGGUGUCUCAAUGCUUUGAUGCGUACCCGGAAGUCCUGCAGGACCUUCGCGCGGAUCCUUGCUGUCUCUGGAAUUCUUCAGAUCGGAUAGGAUCCACCGACAUUUUGUGCCAGCCAGCAAAUACGUCCGGUCGAUGGGCCAGAGUGUGAUGAGGUGUCUUCACACGCAGAAGGUCAGAGGUCCAAGCAAGUCAAGUGAUUUCACCAUAGAGAUUAUCACGUACUACAAAGUUCAGAUAGUAAUCCAGCUGAAUUCCUUCAAUGGACUAGUCUCUUGAUGGAUUUUGCGUUUGGGACACAUAGAGAUUGUUAACCCUUUGCGGAUGGCAAUCUGCGGACAGCAGCCCAAAUGUUUUUACCGUUCAGGACGCGUGUCUGCGGGCGGCAGUCCAAGCCAAUAGCAUAGCAUUCGCUAAUAGAUAUCUUGUUAAUCAUUUAGCAAACGUUUGUUUAUCUAGUGCAAAAUUUAUAAGUGUUACAAACGAA